CUGCACACAACAUUACACUCUUGUAGCCGGUCUGCUGCCAUGUGUAACUCAGGGUUUACCCCUCACGGAUCAGUCACAGAGCCGGUCUCAGCCUAUGCCAGCAGGGGUACAAUGCAGUCCCAGAGUGAAGAGGUACACUGCCUGUCAUCUUGCCACGAUGUGAUACGGUAGGUUGGGGUUUGUAUCUUGUGUGUAUUGCUGCUCAGCCCUUUAGGUUGCGGUUGUGGUCCUGCUUGUGUGCGCUUGGGAGAUUUCUUCAGUGC